UGGUUAUCUUGGGCUGGAGGAGUAUCAGACGCUGAACGAGCAGCAUAGCAUACUGCACGGGAGCAUUGACGAUCUAUGGAAGUAUAUGGUGACGAUUGUAGCCCUUUAAUGGUGUGUGAUCAGCUAAAGUCUCAAAGAGUUGUUUUGGUCCAGCUCAAUUGAUCACUGUUUUCCCUGCCUUGAAAUUGUAUUUUCUUUGUUUCUGUGAAUUGUUUUUGUUUCCUUUUACUUUUUGGCCCAUGACUAUUGGUUAUUGUUUGGUCCAUUUAUUUUACAUGCCAAUGAGGCCAUUACUGGCAGCUUACUCAUUGUAACUAUAUAGGGAGGAAGUAUAUUCACUAUCAUUCACAUGUGUGCUGUGGUUUUUUUGUAUUUCAUGCUUUGAGGUGCUAUGUAUGAGAAUUUACGUUAGUUUUUUUGGGGGUUUAUUGUAUUAAUCAUUUUGGUGUUAAUUUCAUUUUUAUUUUCUUUGAGGGUGACAUUAUCCUCUGCUGUUAUUUGUGUCUCCAUCUUGCAUGAGUAAACUUA